GGGUUGUGAGGUUAAGCGACUAAGCGUACACGGUGGAUGCCCUGGCAGUCAGAGGCGAUGAAGGACGUGCUAAUCUGCGAUAAGCGUCGGUAAGGUGAUAUGAACCGUUAUAACCGGCGAUUUCCGAAUGGGGAAACCCAGUGUGUUUCGACACACUAUCAUUAACUGAAUCCAUAGGUUAAUGAGGCGAACCGGGGGAACUGAAACAUCUAAGUACCCCGAGGAAAAGAAAUCAACCGAGAUUCCCCCAGUAGCGGCGAGCGAACGGGGAGCAGCCCAGAGCCUGAAUCAGUGUGUGUGUUAGUGGAAGCGUCUGGAAAGGCGCGCGAUACAGGGUGACAGCCCCGUACACAAAAAUGCACAUGCUGUGAGCUCGAUGAGUAGGGCGGGACACGUGGUAUCCUGUCUGAAUAUGGGGGGACCAUCCUCCAAGGCUAAAUACUCCUGACUGACCGAUAGUGAACCAGUACCGUGAGGGAAAGGCGAAAAGAACCCCGGCGAGGGGAGUGAAAAAGAACCUGAAACCGUGUACGUACAAGCAGUGGGAGCACGCUUAGGCGUGUGACUGCGUACCUUUUGUAUAAUGGGUCAGCGACUUAUAUUCUGUAGCAAGGUUAACCGAAUAGGGGAGCCGAAGGGAAACCGAGUCUUAACUGGGCGUUAAGUUGCAGGGUAUAGACCCGAAACCCGGUGAUCUAGCCAUGGGCAGGUUGAAGGUUGGGUAACACUAACUGGAGGACCGAACCGACUAAUGUUGAAAAAUUAGCGGAUGACUUGUGGCUGGGGGUGAAAGGCCAAUCAAACCGGGAGAUAGCUGGUUCUCCCCGAAAGCUAUUUAGGUAGCGCCUCGUGAAUUCAUCUCCGGGGGUAGAGCACUGUUUCGGCAAGGGGGUCAUCCCGACUUACCAACCCGAUGCAAACUGCGAAUACCGGAGAAUGUUAUCACGGGAGACACACGGCGGGUGCUAACGUCCGUCGUGAAGAGGGAAACAACCCAGACCGCCAGCUAAGGUCCCAAAGUCAUGGUUAAGUGGGAAACGAUGUGGGAAGGCCCAGACAGCCAGGAUGUUGGCUUAGAAGCAGCCAUCAUUUAAAGAAAGCGUAAUAGCUCACUGGUCGAGUCGGCCUGCGCGGAAGAUGUAACGGGGCUAAACCAUGCACCGAAGCUGCGGCAGCGACACUAUGUGUUGUUGGGUAGGGGAGCGUUCUGUAAGCCUGUGAAGGUGUACUGUGAGGUAUGCUGGAGGUAUCAGAAGUGCGAAUGCUGACAUAAGUAACGAUAAAGCGGGUGAAAAGCCCGCUCGCCGGAAGACCAAGGGUUCCUGUCCAACGUUAAUCGGGGCAGGGUGAGUCGACCCCUAAGGCGAGGCCGAAAGGCGUAGUCGAUGGGAAACAGGUUAAUAUUCCUGUACUUGGUGUUACUGCGAAGGGGGGACGGAGAAGGCUAUGUUGGCCGGGCGACGGUUGUCCCGGUUUAAGCGUGUAGGCUGGUUUUCCAGGCAAAUCCGGAAAACUAAGGCUGAGGCGUGAUGACGAGGCACUACGGUGCUGAAGCAACAAAUGCCCUGCUUCCAGGAAAAGCCUCUAAGCAUCAGGUAACAUCAAAUCGUACCCCAAACCGACACAGGUGGUCAGGUAGAGAAUACCAAGGCGCUUGAGAGAACUCGGGUGAAGGAACUAGGCAAAAUGGUGCCGUAACUUCGGGAGAAGGCACGCUGAUAUGUAGGUGAAGUCCCUCGCGGAUGGAGCUGAAAUCAGUCGAAGAUACCAGCUGGCUGCAACUGUUUAUUAAAAACACAGCACUGUGCAAACACGAAAGUGGACGUAUACGGUGUGACGCCUGCCCGGUGCCGGAAGGUUAAUUGAUGGGGUUAGCGCAAGCGAAGCUCUUGAUCGAAGCCCCGGUAAACGGCGGCCGUAACUAUAACGGUCCUAAGGUAGCGAAAUUCCUUGUCGGGUAAGUUCCGACCUGCACGAAUGGCGUAAUGAUGGCCAGGCUGUCUCCACCCGAGACUCAGUGAAAUUGAACUCGCUGUGAAGAUGCAGUGUACCCGCGGCAAGACGGAAAGACCCCGUGAACCUUUACUAUAGCUUGACACUGAACAUUGAGCCUUGAUGUGUAGGAUAGGUGGGAGGCUUGGAAGUGUGGACGCCAGUCUGCAUGGAGCCGACCUUGAAAUACCACCCUUUAAUGUUUGAUGUUCUAACGUUGACCCGUAAUCCGGGUUGCGGACAGUGUCUGGUGGGUAGUUUGACUGGGGCGGUCUCCUCCUAAAGAGUAACGGAGGAGCACGAAGGUUGGCUAAUCCUGGUCGGACAUCAGGAGGUUAGUGCAAUGGCAUAAGCCAGCUUGACUGCGAGCGUGACGGCGCGAGCAGGUGCGAAAGCAGGUCAUAGUGAUCCGGUGGUUCUGAAUGGAAGGGCCAUCGCUCAACGGAUAAAAGGUACUCCGGGGAUAACAGGCUGAUACCGCCCAAGAGUUCAUAUCGACGGCGGUGUUUGGCACCUCGAUGUCGGCUCAUCACAUCCUGGGGCUGAAGUAGGUCCCAAGGGUAUGGCUGUUCGCCAUUUAAAGUGGUACGCGAGCUGGGUUUAGAACGUCGUGAGACAGUUCGGUCCCUAUCUGCCGUGGGCGCUGGAGAACUGAGGGGGGCUGCUCCUAGUACGAGAGGACCGGAGUGGACGCAUCACUGGUGUUCGGGUUGUCAUGCCAAUGGCACUGCCCGGUAGCUAAAUGCGGAAGAGAUAAGUGCUGAAAGCAUCUAAGCACGAAACUUGCCCCGAGAUGAGUUCUCCCUGACUCCUUGAGAGUCCUGAAGGAACGUUGAAGACGACGACGUUGAUAGGCCGGGUGUGUAAGCGCAGCGAUGCGUUGAGCUAACCGGUACUAAUGAACCGUGAGGCUUAACCUUACAACGCCGAAGCUGUU
rnacentral:rRNA from 1 species